UCGAACUCGGGCCUCUUGAUUGUGAGUCGAGCGUGCUAACCACUACACUACGCGUGUGUGUGUGUGUGUGUGUGUGUGUGUGUGUGUGUGUGUGUGUGUGUGUGUUGAUUUUCAUAGAGAAAACAUUGAAUGACAUAUGAUUGCUAAAAGAAAGGGAAUAAGUUGAAGCAGAUACAUAGAAUAUAAUUAUGGAAACUGUAUAACAUUAAGACAGUUGAUGAUCUGACAUGAGUAAUGACUAGAGGUGCCAGAGACAAGAGAACUUUUAAGACAAAGACAAGUUUCUCUGGUUUCCUCUGCUCACAGUGUGGGCUAGAGAGCGCAGAGAGACAAACUCUUCUACCUUGAGGCUAUCUAGUCAAGAUUCAGUACAUAUAACAUAAUCAUGCCAGUGUGUGUGUGUGUGUGUGUGUGUGUGUGUGUGUGUGUGUGUGUGUGUGUGUGUGUGUGUGUGUGUGUGUGUGUGUGUGUGUGUGUGUGUGCGUGCGUGCGUGCGUGCGUGUGUGCGCACCACUGUGUUCUGGGGACAUGCACCACUGUCACUAGUGUGAGGUGUGUUGGUGUUGAUGUGUAAGGGAAGCGGGAGUAGCAAGCUGCAAGGGGCACACUGCACCUGCUGAGCUUCAGUCCUCAGCUUGUAUGGGGUGUGGUUCCUCAGGACAGGCAUCUGUUGAUGCAUUGAAGAAGUGAAGAACAUUUAUUGUCUUACAUUCCCAACAGCCAUGGAAUGAGCUGGCAUUGUUCUCUGCUAAGAUACCAUUGCAGCCUUUUUGUUAUUUAUGUUUCUGCACAAAGAGUAAGUCAUUUAGAACAUUUACAUUUUUCGUCAUUGCAUGAUGCCAUGUGACUUCUCAAUUAAUCGAAAAUAAAGAUUAAGAUUC